rnacentral:rRNA from 1 species
GUGCCAGCCGCCGCGGUAAUACGUAGGGGGCGAGCGUUGUCCGGAAUCACUGGGCGUAAAGGGUGCGUAGGCGGCUUGGCAAGUCCUGUGUGAAAGGUCGCGGCUCAACCGCGGUGGGUCAUGGGAAACUGCCAAGCUCGAGUGCCGGAGAGGAUAGCGGAAUUCCCGGUGUAGCGGUGAAAUGCGUAGAGAUCGGGAGGAACACCAGUGGCGAAGGCGGCUAUCUGGAAGGUCACUGACGCUGAGGCACGACAGCUGGGGGAGCAAACAGGAUUAGAUACCCUGGUAGUCCCAGCCGUAAACGAUGAGUGCUAGGUGUUGCGGGUAUCGACCCCUGCAGUGCCGAAGUCAACACAAUAAGCACUCCGCCUGGGGAGUACGGCCGCAAGGCUGAAACUCAAAUAAAUUGACGG